rnacentral:rRNA from 1 species
AGAGUUUGAUCCUGGCUCAGAAUCAACGCUGGCGGCGUGCCUAACACAUGCAAGUCGCACGAGAAAGUGGAGCAAUCCAUGAGUAAAGUGGCGCACGGGUGAGUAACACGUGAAUUAUCUACCUCCGAGUGGGGAAUAACUGAGAGAAAUCUUAGCUAAUACCGCAUAACACUUACGAGUCAAAGCAGCAAUGCGCUUGGAGAGGAGUUCGCGGCCGAUUAGUUAGUUGGCGGGGUAAUGGCCCACCAAGACGAUGAUCGGUAUCCGGCCUGAGAGGGCGCACAGACACACUGGAACUGAAACACGGUCCAGACUCCUACGGGAGGCAGCAGUGGGGAAUUUUGCGCAAUGGGGGAAACCCUGACGCAGCAACGCCGCGUGGAGGAUGAAAUAUCUUGGUAUGUAAACUCCUUUCGAUGGGGAAGAUUAUGACGGUACCCAUAGAAGAAGCCCCGGCUAACUUCGUGCCAGCAGCCGCGGUAAUACGAGGGGGGCAAGCGUUGUUCGGAUUUAUUGGGCGUAAAGGGUGCGUAGGCGGUUUGGCAAGUCUGAUGUGAAAUCUAUGGGCUCAACCCAUAGUCUGCAUCAGAAACUGCCGGGCUUGAGUAUGGGAGAGGUGAGUGGAAUUUCCGGUGUAGCGGUGAAAUGCGUAGAUAUCGGAAGGAACACCUGUGGCGAAAGCGGCUCACUGGACCAUAACUGACGCUGAUGCACGAAAGCUAGGGGAGCAAACAGGAUUAGAUACCCUAGUAGUCC